CACGCAGGCCUGUCUGGGGUAGUGCACGCAAGGAUACCAAUCUGUGGCAUGAACUUGGGCCUGGUGAUGGGAGAUGGGUGAGCAAAAGAGCUGACAAGUGCACCUGCUCUUUAGCACAGUGAGACCUGUCCUGGAGGCCAGAGCUCAAACCGAGGCUCAGAGAUCUGGUUAGUCCUGAAACAAAGGUCUCCUGAUUCCUGCUUUCUUUUCACCAGGUUGCUGCACUGGGGCCUGCCUUCCAGGAGAGUCAUUAUUGGCAAGGGUGAGUUUCUGGGGGAAAUGAAUAUGUGCUGAGAGGGAGGGAAGGCAGUAGAGGGACCCCCAAGAGGGUAAAGAGAGGGCAGUGGAAGGGGGGGGGCGAGGACAACCUCUCCUACCCUCUCAGUUUGCUGAGGUCUCUGAGGUUAGGCCUUCUCAGGUCUCACUGCCACCUUCUCCACCUCUUUCAAUUUGCCUGUCUUUGUGUGGUUGAAGCCGACCUAGCAUAAAAUAACACAUUUUUCCGCUUUUUCGCACAUUUUGAAAGCAAAGACAGGCUUUAAUGAUCAGUUUUCUGUUCCUUGGUAUUUUCUUUUGAGCAAAGGCUGUGUUUUUAUAAGAUACUACAUUUCAAUGGGCUAUUCUUUCCAUCCUGACAAACAUUCCUGAGUGGUAGGUUUUAGGAGGCAUUCCAAUUUAUUGCUUCUGGUGUCCAAUAACCUUGGAAUGAGUAUCUGUCUCCAUGCCCCCCAAGGCCAUGUUAUUUCAGAAAGUUACAGCUCUUAAAAUCGUUCUCUAAUAAAAGCGAGUGCCACUAAUUCUAAGUAAAGUGAGCUUUCCAAAUAAAACCAGCUGUGAACAUUUAAAAAAAAAAAA